UACAUGGAAUCCGAGCGUUAUCCGGAAUGAUUGGGCGUAAAGCGUUUGUCGGUGGUUGGGAAAGUCGCGGGUUAAAGUCUAGGGCUUAACCGUAGGUCAGCUUGCGAAACUUCCCGGCUAGAGUAUGGUAGGGGUAUAGGGAAUUAUCGGUGUAACGGUGAAAUGUGCAGAUAUCGAUAAGAACACCAAUGGCGAAAGCACUUUACUGGGCCAAUACUGACACUUAGAGACGAAAGCUAGAGUAGCAAAAAGG
rnacentral:rRNA from 1 species